UUGUAUUUUUUGUAGAGAUGGGGUCUCUCCCAUGGGCACAGUCUCAUUGUUUCUAUAGUUUAUUACCAGAAAAGUUUCUCUGAAUGUGUAGAGCACUGGAAACCAUGAGGAAGAGGCAUAGCGUUCUCCCUUGAGCAUCAAGUUGGCUGUUGGUGUUGCUUUGCUGCAAAUGCCAUUUGUCAUUGUCUUCCUUGUCUUCCUUUAGGAGAGUAAAAGGGAGAGGACACAGUCUGGGUAGU
ensembl:snoRNA U3 Small nucleolar RNA U3